UGGUUCAACUGGUAGAGCAUGGCACUUUCAAAUGUCAGGAUCGCAGGUUUGAUUCCUGC
rnacentral:tRNA from 1 species